ACGCUGGCGGCGUGCCUAAUACAUGCAAGUAGAACGCUGAAGGAGGAGCUUACUCUUCUGGAUGAGUUGCGAACGGGUGAGUAACGCGUAGGUAACCUGUCUGGUAGCGGGGGAUAACUAUUGGAAACGAUAGCUAAUACCGCAUAACAGUAGAUGUUGCAUGACAUUUGCUUAAAAGGUGCAAUUGCAUCACUACCAGAUGGACCUGCGUUGUAUUAGCUAGUUGGUGGGGUAACGGCUCACCAAGGCGACGAUACAUAGCCGACCUGAGAGGGUGAUCGGCCACACUGGGACUGAGACACGGCCCAGACUCCUACGGGAGGCAGCAGUAGGGAAUCUUCGGCAAUGGACGGAAGUCUGACCGAGCAACGCCGCGUGAGUGAAGAAGGUUUUCGGAUCGUAAAGCUCUGUUGUAAGAGAAGAACGAGUGUGAGAGUGGAAAGUUCACGCUGUGACGGUAUCUUACCAGAAAGGGACGGCUAACUACGUGCCAGCAGCCGCGGUAAUACGUAGGUCCCGAGCGUUGUCCGGAUUUAUUGGGCGUAAAGCGAGCGCAGGCGGUUAGAUAAGUCUGAAGUUAAAGGCUGUGGCUUAACCAUAGUACGCUUUGGAAACUGUUUAACUUGAGUGCAAGAGGGGAGAGUGGAAUUCCAUGUGUAGCGGUGAAAUGCGUAGAUAUAUGGAGGAACACCGGUGGCGAAAGCGGCUCUCUGGCUUGUAACUGACGCUGAGGCUCGAAAGCGUGGGGAGCAAACAGGAUUAGAUACCCUGGUAGUCCACGCCGUAAACGAUGAGUGCUAGGUGUUAGACCCUUUCCGGGGUUUAGUGCCGCAGCUAACGCAUUAAGCACUCCGCCUGGGGAGUACGACCGCAAGGUUGAAACUCAAAGGAAUUGACGGGGGCCCGCACAAGCGGUGGAGC
rnacentral:rRNA from 1 species